AGCGGGAAGGAGUGGCCGGUGAUAUAACAGAGAUAAUACAGGUACUUUGUUAUUCUUAUCCGUGAUCGCUUUGCCCGGC
ensembl:miRNA cin-mir-4183 cin-mir-4183